rnacentral:rRNA from 1 species
AACGUAGGUGGCGAGCGUUAUCCGGAUUUACUGGGCGUAAAGGGUGUGCAGGCGGGGUGACAAGUGGUGUAUGAAAUAUCUCAGCUUAACUGGGAAGGGUUAUGCCAGAUUGUCAUUCUAGAGUGCGAGAGAGGGACGUUGGAAUUCCGGGUGUAGUGGUGAAAUGCGCAGAUAUCAGGAGGAACACCGAUGGCGAAGGCAGGUCUCUGGGCACUACUGACGCUGAGAAGCGAAAGCACGGGGAGCGAACGGG